rnacentral:rRNA from 1 species
AACUUGGUCAUUUAGAGGAAGUAAAAGUCGUAACAAGGUUUCCGUAGGUGAACCUGCGGAAGGAUCAUUAUUGAAUGAAUCUAGAGUUGGUUGUUGCUGGCCUCUAGAGGCAUGUGCACACCUUCUCUUUCAUCCACACACACCUGUGCACUUGUGAGAUUGGAGGGCUGGAAUUUUUUCUAAAUUUUCUAACCUUCCAUCUGCUAUUACACAAACUCGAUUUAAUUUAAACCGAAUGUAAUUGAUGUAACGCAUCUAAUACUAAGUCUCAACAACGGAUCUCUUGGCUCUCGCAUCGAUGAAGAACGCAGCGAAAUGCGAUAAGUAAUGUGAAUUGCAGAAUUCAGUGAAUCAUCGAAUCUUUGAACGCAUCUUGCGCUCCUUGGUAUUCCUUGGAGCAUGCCUGUUUGAGUAUCAUGAAACUCUCAAAGUAAAUCUUUUGUUAAUUCGAUUGGUUCACUUUGGAUUUGGAGGCUCUGCAGAUUUUACAAUCUGCUCCUCUUGAAUAUAUUAGCUGGAUCUCAGUAUAUACUUGGUUCCACUCGGCGUGAUAAGUAUCACUCGCUGAGGACGCCCAUGAAAAGGUGGCCAAGGAAUACAGAUGAACUGCUUCUAAUAGUCUAUUAGAUUAGACAAUUGAUCUUAUGAUCUGAUCUCAAAUCAGGUAGGACUACCCGCUGAACUUAAGCAUAUCAAUAAGCGGAGGAAAAGAAACUAACAAGGAUU